ACGUAGGGGGCAAGCGUUAUCCGGAAUUAUUGGGCAUAAAGAGCAUGUAGGCGGUAUUUUAAGUCAUGUGUAAAAGACUCUGGCUCAACCAGGGUAUGCGCAUGAUACUGAAGUACUAGAGAUCAGUAGAGGAAAGCGGAACUCACAGUGUAGCGGUGAAAUGCGUAGAUAUUGUGAGGAACACCAGUUGCGAAGGCGGCUUUCUGGACUGAAUCUGACGCUCAAGUGCGAAAGCGUGGGGAGCAAACGGG
rnacentral:rRNA from 1 species